rnacentral:lncRNA from 1 species
AAGAGGUCCCACCUAAAGGCAAAGGGAACCAAGAUGCUCAUGAUCCUUGAGGCUUUGCAAAUGCAAUGUUAUGAUGCCAUGAGGGAUCUUAGGGCCAAAAUUGGGGUCUUACACACAAGAUGAUGGGUGACCAUUUAGUCACUUAGUGAGUCCAAAAAUAUGAAAAGCAAAGAAUCAAAAAAAUGGAAACAAAAAAAAGAAAUUAUUCUCAAAAUUAAGAAAUGGAACACGC